rnacentral:lncRNA from 1 species
UGUUUUUAGGUGUUUUGAAAUGAGUUUUACACCUGGGUUUCAAUGAGUUUUUCAGCUCACUUCAAUGGCUGAAAUGGAGCUUUUCAGGCAGCUUUGUUGAAGGGAAGAAAGAGCAUCAACGGGUGUUGGAAAAUUUCAGUCCAGAGUGACGAUCCCUCUUUGUUUUUUGUUUGUUUCCUUCGUUCCUCCUCUCUUUUAGUUCCGUUUCCAACCCCUUUCCGUUGUUUUUG